CUGAAAAUCCUCUUACUCCUCAACAGCAUCAUCACUUCAAAAUUACUGAUAUUCUUUGUGUUUUUUAAGGUUAGUGUUCAUCCAUGUUCUUAAGUAAAUCUUAUUUAUAGCCAUGCAAAGAAGAUGGUUGAGUCAACAUUGUGUAAACGUUCAACAUUCAUGUCAAGAUUCGUUUUUUUAAUCAUUUGAACUUUUACAUUAGAUGGUUGAACAAGUAUCACCUAAAUAAGAUGCAUGCGCAGAAUACUAGAUUCAUUUAAUGCUAGGAAUCUGAGAAAAUAGGAUAUUUUUUUUGGAAUCAGGAACAAUGAACAGGCCCGGAGAUUGGAACUGCAGAGCGUGCCAACAUUUUAACUUCCAGAGAAGAGACUCUUGCCAACGAUGUGGUGAAGCAAGAGCCGGUGACUAUGGACUUAGUUUCGC
rnacentral:lncRNA from 1 species